CCGCGUGUGUGAAGAAGGCCUUCGGGUUGUAAAGCACUUUCAGUUGUGAGGAAAAGUUGGUAGUUAAUACCUGCCAGCCGUGACGUUAACAACAGAAGAAGCACCGGCUAACUCCGUGCCAGCAGCCGCGGUAAUACGGAGGGUGCGAGCGUUAAUCGGAAUUACUGGGCGUAAAGCGCACGCAGGCGGUUUGUUAAGCUAGAUGUGAAAGCCCCGGGCUCAACCUGGGAUGGUCAUUUAGAACUGGCAGACUAGAGUCUUGGAGAGGGGAGUGGAAUUCCAGGUGUAGCGGUGAAAUGCGUAGAUAUCUGGAGGAACAUCAGUGGCGAAGGCGACUCCCUGGCCAAAGACUGACGCUCAUGUGCGAAAGUGUGGGUAGCGAACAGGAUUAGAUACCCUGGUAGUCCACACCGUAAACGCUGUCUACUAGCUGUGUGUGAAUUUAAUUCGUGCGUAGCGAAGCUAACGCGCUAAGUAGACCGCCUGGGGAGUACGGCCGCAAGGUUAAAA
rnacentral:rRNA from 1 species